AGAACGAACGCUGGCGGCAUGCCUAACACAUGCAAGUCGAACGAGACCUUCGGGUCUAGUGGCGCACGGGUGCGUAACGCGUGGGAAUCUGCCCCUCGGUUCGGAAUAACAGUGGGAAACUACUGCUAAUACCGGAUGAUGACGAAAGUCCAAAGAUUUAUCGCCGAGGGAUGAGCCCGCGUAGGAUUAGGUAGUUGGUGAGGUAAAGGCUCACCAAGCCGACGAUCCUUAGCUGGUCUGAGAGGAUGAUCAGCCACACUGGGACUGAGACACGGCCCAGACUCCUACGGGAGGCAGCAGUGGGAAUAUUGGACAAUGGGCGAAAGCCUGAUCCAGCAAUGCCGCGUGAGUGAUGAAGGCCUUAGGGUUGUAAAGCUCUUUUACCAGGGAUGAUAAUGACAGUACCUGGAGAAUAAGCUCCGGCUAACUCCGCGCCAGCAGCCGC
rnacentral:rRNA from 1 species